UUCCGGUUGAUCCCGCCGCCGGACACCGCUAUUGGAGUUCGCUUAAGCCAUGCGAGUCGAGAGGGGUAAGCCCUCGGCGCACUGCUCAGUAACACGCGGACAAUCUGCCCUCAAGACGGGGAUAUUCCCGGGAAACUGGGGCUAAUACCCGAUAGACCUGAGAUGAUGGAAGGCUCCCAGGUCGAAAUCCUCCGGGGCUCGAGGAUGGGUCUGCGGCCUAUCAGGUUGUAGGGGGUGUCACGGACCCCCUAGCCGAAGACGGGUACGGGCUUUGGGAGAAGUCGCCCGGAGAUGGAUUCUGAGACACGAAUCCAGGUCCUACGGGACGCAGCAGGCGCGAAACCUCCACAAUGUGGGAAAUCACGAUGGGGGAACUCCAAGUGCCUACGCUUUAAGUGUAGGCUGUUCUCGAGCCUAAAAAGCUCGAGAAGUAAGGGCCGGGUAAGACGGGUGCCAGCCGCCGCGGUAAUACCCGCGGCCCGAGUGGUGCUCAUUAUUAUUGAGCCUAAAGCGUCCGUAGCUGGCCGGGCAAAUCUCCGGGUAAAUCGGGCAGCUCAACUGUCCGAAUUCCGGAGACACUGCUCGGCUUGGGAUCGGGAGAGGGUGAAGGUACUCCCUGGGUAGGGGUAAAAUCCUGUAAUCCGGGGGGGACCACCAGUGGCGAAGGCGUUCACCUAGAACGAAUCCGACAGUGAGGGACGAAGCCCUAGGGCGCAAACGGGAUUAGAUACCCCGGUAGUCUAGGGUGUAAACGCUGCAGACUUGGUGUUGGGGGUCCUGCGUGGGCUGCCAGUGCCGGAGCGAAGGUGUUAAGUCUGCCGCUUGGGGAGUACGGCCGCAAGACUGAAACUUAAAGGAAUUGGCGGGAGAGCACCGCAACGGGAGGAGCGUGCGGUUCAAUUGGAUUCACCGCCGGGA
rnacentral:rRNA from 1 species